UACAGAGGGUGCAAGCGUUAAUCGGAAUUACUGGGCGUAAAGCGUGCGUAGACGGUUGCGUAAGUCAGAUGUGAAAGCCCCGGGCUCAACCUGGGAAUUGCAUUUGAGACUGCGUAGCUAGGGUGCGGAAGAGGGAAGCGGAAUUUACGGUGUAGCAGUGAAAUGCGUAGAUAUCGUAAGGAAGACCAGUGGCGAAGGCGAAUCUCUGGACAGUUACUGACACUGAGGCACGAAGGCCAGGGGAGCAAACGGG
rnacentral:rRNA from 1 species